rnacentral:rRNA from 1 species
AACGGAGCGCAAGCGACGUUCAACCGCAAAAGAAGCAGAGGGGGCUUAGUGGUGGGGUGACUGCGUACCUUUUGUAUAAUGGGUCAGCGACUUAUAUUCUGUAGCAAGGUUAACCGUAUAGGGGAGCCGGAGGGAAACCGAGUCUUAAUUGGGCGUUAAGUUGCAGGGUAUAGACCCGAAACCCGGUGAUCUAGCCAUGGGCAGGUUGAAGGUUGGGUAACACUAACUGGAGGACCGAACCGACUAAUGUUGAAAAAUUAGCGGAUGACCUGUGGCUGGGGGUGAAAGGCCAAUCAAACCGGGAGAUAGCUGGUUCUCCCCGAAAGCUAUUUAGGUAGCGCCUCGUGAAUUCAUCUCCGGGGGUAGAGCACUGUUUCGGCUAGGGGGCCAUCCCGGCUUACCAACCCGAUGCAAACUGCGAAUACCGGAGAAUGUUAUCACGGGAGACACACGGCGGGUGCUAACGUCCGUCGUGAAGAGGGAAACAACCCAGACCGCCAGCUAAGGUCCCAAAGUCAUGGUUAAGUGGGAAACGAUGUGGGAAGGCCCAGACAGCCAGGAUGUUGGCUUAGAAGCAGCCAUCAUUUAAAGAAAGCGUAAUAGCUCACUGGUCGAGUCGGCCUGCGCGGAAGAUGUAACGGGGCUAAACCAUGCACCGAAGCUGCGGCAGCGAACGUAUCACUUAAAGCGAUUCAGCGGGUUACGAUUGACGGAGCGAAGCGACGUCAAAGCGUAUACAAAGUCGAGUCGGUUUAAGGAUACGUUCGUUGGGUAGGGGAGCGUUCUGUAAGCCUGUGAAGGUGGCCUGUGAGGGUUGCUGGAGGUAUCAGAAGUGCGAAUGCUGACAUAAGUAACGAUAAAGCGGGUGAAAAGCCCGCUCGCCGGAAGACCAAGGGUUCCUGUCCAACGUUAAUCGGGGCAGGGUGAGUCGACCCCUAAGGCGAGGCCGAAAGGCGUAGUCGAUGGGAAACGGGUUAAUAUUCCCGUACUUGGUGUUACUGCGAAGGGGGGACGGAGAAGGCUAUGUUGGCCGGGCGACGGUUGUCCCGGUUUAAGCGUGUAGGUGUGUGUUCCAGGUAAAUCCGGUUCACUUUAACACUGAGGCGUGAUGACGAGGCACUACGGUGCUGAAGCAACAAAUGCCCUGCUUCCAGGAAAAGCCUCUAAGCAUCAGGUAACACGAAAUCGUACCCCAAACCGACACAGGUGGUCAGGUAGAGAAUACCAAGGCGCUUGAGAGAACUCGGGUGAAGGAACUAGGCAAAAUGGUGCCGUAACUUCGGGAGAAGGCACGCUGACACGUAGGUGAAGUGAUUUACUCAUGGAGCUGAAGUCAGUCGAAGAUACCA